UUAGGAAUAUUCGACAAUGGAGGAAACUCUGAUCGAGCAAUGCCGCGUGAGUGAUGACGGUCCUUUGGAUUGUAAAACUCUUUUAUUAGGGAAGAACGACUAGCAUAGGAAAUGAUGCUAGAGUGACGGUACCUUUUGAAUAAGCCCCGGCUAACUACGUGCCAGCAGCCGCGGUAAUACGUAGGGGGCGAGCGUUAUCCGGAUUUAUUGGGUGUAAAGCGUGUGUAGGCGGCUUUCUAAGUCUAAGGUUAAAGCCCGGAGCUCAACUCCGGUUCGCCUUAGAAACUGGAUCGCUUGAGUGUGGUAGAGGCAAAUGGAAUUUCUAGUGUAGCGGUAAAAUGCGUAGAUAUUAGAAGGAACACCAGUGGCGAAGGCGAUUUGCUGGGCCAUUACUGACGCUGAGACACGAAAGCGUGGGGAGCAAAUAGG
rnacentral:rRNA from 1 species